rnacentral:rRNA from 1 species
UGCCAGCCGCCGCGGUAAGACGAACUGCGCGAACGUUAUUCGGAAUUACUGGGCUUAAGGGGUGCGUAGGCGGCUUGGAAGGUGGGGUGUGAAAUCCCUCGGCUCAACCGAGGAACUGCGCUCCAAACCAUCAAGCUUGAGUAAGACAGAGGUGAGCGGAACUAAUGGUGGAGCGGUGAAAUGCGUUGAUAUCAUUAGGAACACCGGUGGCGAAGGCGGCUCACUGGGUCUUAACUGACGCUGAGGCACGAAAGCUAGGGUAGCGAACGGGAUUAGAUA